UACAGAGGUGGCAAGCGUUGUUCGGAAUUACUGGGCGUAAAGGGCGCGUAGGCGGCCUUCUAAGUCGGACGUGAAAGCCCCAGGCUUAACCUGGGAACUGCGUCCGAUACUGGGAGGCUUGGAUUCGGGAGAGGGAUGUGGAAUUCCAGGUGUAGCGGUGAAAUGCGUAGAUAUCUGGAGGAACACCGGUGGCGAAGGCGGCAUCCUGGACCGAGAUCGACGCUGAGGCGCGAAAGCUAGGGGAGCAAACGGG
rnacentral:rRNA from 4 species